AUUUAAAUCUGUCCUACUCACUGGUCAACAUAUUGGACUCUGGUGUUAAUAUAAUGUUAAAAUAGCUGCUUACAUGGUUAAAAGAAAAGAAAAGAAAAUGUGCUGAUUGUUUGAGAUGAAAGUAAAAGAAAACCUGCUAAAUCAUUGGGGAACUUGGGAGGAAAAUCAUUUUAAAUAAACAAAUCACAUCAUUACACAGCAUUAUCCAGUGGCCUGCCUCUUUUAUUUUUCUCUUAUUUUUGUGAUCAAUAAUCACUGUACAUAUAGAUAUUUAGCCACUUUUUUUAGCUCCAUCGACUUCAGUGGUUAGGUCAGUCCCCAUCGAGACACCGGACUUAAAGAACUGAGCAUUGAUAAGAACUCAGUAUGGCUGCAUAGGAGACAAGAACAAGCAGUGAUCUAGUGAUUCACACCUGUCUUGCCUUUACUGUAUUCACAGGAGCUUUGGAUUGAGAAGAAUUCAGUCAAGGAGCAGGAGGUAGGCUUAAGGCAGGCCUGGAUAAAGUAUGGUCCUGGAAGAUGUCCCAAAGAAAUUCAAAGAUGAUUAUUUCUUUAGUUUUUGCCUUGUCCUCACCAGUAAUUGCUCCCAUCUAGGGAGAGGGAGGGAUAUUGAUGUCUCUCUUUUAAACAUAUGUUUACUCUUCCAAGGUGACUUAUGGGACUAAGAAAGGAAGCAAAGCUUUUUACCAAAAGUAGACUUAAACUUUGAGUUUUUACGUUGCUGUUUAUAUCUCUAAUUCAGCACUCUUAUUGCUGUAGCUAAGCCUUUUCGAUUCUAUAUUAAGUAGAGUUGAAAGUGGAGAUCUUUCUUGAGUUCUUAGUAGUGGAAAUGCUGAGCUCUCCCAUAAAAAUGAUGUGCCUGAAUGGUUUGCCAUAUAUAGCCUUUAUUAUGUGAUGAUAUGAUCCUUUUAUUCUGAAUUUCUUCAGGACUUUUAACAUAAGGGGAUGUUAAAUUUUGUCCAAAGCCAUUUUUUUUUGCAUUUAUAAAGAUGAUCAUGUUAUUCUGUCUUUGAGCCCAUUUAUGUAAUUUCUAAUACACACACACACAUCCCUGUAUCUGGAAUAAAGCCAAUGUAGUUGUGG
rnacentral:lncRNA from 1 species